UAGCAAUACCUAGUGGCGGACGGGUGAGUAACGCGUGGGAAUCUGCCCAAGGGUGGGGGAUAACUAACCGAAAGGUUAGCUAAUACCGCAUAUGCCGUGAGGUAAAAGGAGUAAUCCGCCCCUGGAUGAGCCUGCGUCCGAUUAGCUUGUUGGUAGGGUAAAAGCCUACCAAGGCUACGAUCGGUAGCUGGUCUGAGAGGAUGAUCAGCCACAAUGGGACUGAGACACGGCCCAUACUCCUACGGGAGGCAGCAGUGGGGAAUUUUACGCAAUGGGGGAAACCCUGACGUAGCGACACCGCGUGAGCGAAGAAGCCCUCUGGGGUGUAAAGCUCUGUCAGCAGGGACGAAAAAAAUGACGGUACCUGCAGAGGAAGCAUCGGCUAACUACGUGCCAGCAGCCGCGGUAAGACGUAGGAUGCAAGCGUUGUCCGGAUUCAUUGGGCGUAAAGAGUUCGUAGGCGGUUUGUUAAGUCUGAUGUUAAAGAUCAGGGCCCAACCCUGAGAGUGCAUUGGAUACUGGCAGACUGGAGUGCAGUAGAGGCAAGUGGAAUUCCCAGUGUAGCGGUGAAAUGCGUAGAUAUUGGGAAGAACACCGGUGGCGCAGGCGACUUGCUGGGCUGUAACUGACGCUGAGGAACGAAAGCUAGGGGAGCAAAUGGGAUUAGAUACCCCAGUAGUCCUAGCUGUAAACGAUGGAUACUAGGCGUUGCAGGUAUCGACCCCUGCAGUGCCGCAGUUAACGCGAUAAGUAUCCCGCCUGAGUAGUACGGCCGCAAGGUUGAAACUCAAAGGAAUUGACGGGGGCCCGCACAAGCGGUGGAACAUGUGGUUUAAUUCGAAGCAACGCGAAGAACCUUACCAGGGCUUGACAUCUGUAGAACCUUUCGGAAACGAGAGGGUGCUCGCAAGAGAGCUACAAGACAGGUGGUGCAUGGCUGUCGUCAGCUCGUGUCGUGAGAUGUUGGGUUAAGUCCCGCAACGAGCGCAACCCCCGUUGCUAGUUGCCAUCAGGUAAUGCUGGGCACUCUAGCGAGACUGCCGGUGACAAA
rnacentral:rRNA from 1 species